AUGCCGGCCGCAAAGCCCCAUCUCCGUCUGGAUGUCCUCCUGGUGGAGCCGCCUUCUUCACCGAUGCUGCCCUGUAGCUGUGCAUUGAGGGCACCAUGCGGCCCGGCGGCAGGUCCCACAGCCACGGAGAGGACCAGGCAGGCGGCGGGGAGAGCCCGGAGAGCCCGGCUCGGCUCGUGGUCAGCUCCAAGUAAGCAAAGCCCCGAUCAGCCCUGAAAUGUCCAUUAAACAAAAAGAAAAGGAAAAUGCUUAUUUGAAAGAAUUCUUCUCUUUGGCAAUGCUGAGACAUUCUCCUAGUCUCAGCCCCACAGAGCUCCAGUGUGUGACAGACAACAGCUGAUGGGGAAGUUCCGCGUGUCCGUCCUAACCAGGGCUAGAGGCGAUGACUGUCUGUGGCGGCUGGGAAAGCCUCCUCCUUGUGGCUGCAGCCACUGCUGAAGGGGCUCCACCUGGCACUUGUGCCACCAAAGGCCCCUGAACGGGCGUCUAGGCCCACCCUUAAUAUCCAGGCCCACCCUUAAUAAAGAAAGAUGUGCUGCUCAUCCUCAGUUCCAAACCUUGUUUGUCCCUCCUCCCCGACCCCCGUAUGUUCUGGGGGAGAUCCCUCCACUGUCAGACAAAGACUUCAGAACCACAGCAGUCAUCGCAUCGAGCGCCAGCGGUGUCUGUGUGUGCUUUUCCUUCUGUCAGUGCCCUCUGGCUCAGUCCAGUGCCCAGCGCUUACAACUGGGAAAAACACACA